AAACACACCCCAAACCCGCCCCAAAUCCAAGCUCAAAAUAAAAUUACCCGGUCUAGCCUCUUAUCUAAACCAAACGACCCCGUUUUGCCCGUCUUUUAUCACAGCCGUUGGAUCUUACUGAUCCAACGGUUCAGAACUAACCUUCCAUUCGAUAUAAGAUUGUCCUAACUGAUCACCCCCAAUUUCGAACCCCCCCAUUUUGUCUCUUUUACAAACCCUAGUCAACCUAGCUGCUCCCAAAUUACCAAACCCCACCGGCCGGCGACACAACCCCAAUCGACCCCAAGUUCACACCCUAUAAUCACCAGGCAUCCCCAAACACAAAACCCCUAACAAUUUCCCCAAAUAAUCUUUGGAACUCAUCGAAUCCUGGAUCUAUGGUUUGACCUAGUUUCUGCGUUUUGAGAUUUUCUUGAAGUUUCUGCUCGUUUUGGAUGGAAGUCUACCCAAAUAGGUUACUCUUGAGUGGAGUAGUCAUUUAGGUCAACUUCGAGCCCUAUCGAAGCAUCUUGAAGCCUGUCAUUUGGGUCGAUCAGUAAAUUCUUGACCUCUACUCUUUGUUUUUGUUUUCUCUUCUGUUUUUCUUUCUUUAUUUCUCUUCUUCUCAAUCGGUUUUGUUUGCAUGAUAGUUUGGAACGCUUAUCAAGCGAGUUUUAUUCAUUUUUUAAUUAGUCAAUUGUGUUCAAUCAUUAUUAGCAUGUUUAAGUUCUUGGUUAAUUACAAUUUGCUUUAGGGUAAUUUAGAAUGAGCUUGAUUAGCUAUUUUAGGAUAAUUCAAAUAAGCUAAUUAGUUAAUUGAAUGUUUGAUUCUGAUUUGCACCAUUUUCUUUUUCCGUUUUACAUGAAUGUUUUGAUUCUGAUGCUGGCUGGAUAAAAAUGGUGUUCAGCCUAGGCCUGAGUUAAAUAUUACACUUGGGCCUGUUUGAGACCAUUUGGCCACGACUUGGGCCUGUUUGCCAGGGCAGUUGGCCCAAAACUGAAGGGAAAGGUUCUAGAAAGCGUACAUCUGCCUAGACUUGGUGGAAAGAGCAUGUGGAAAUAUCUGAAUAUGGACAGCUGUCCCAAAGCUACCCAGUUUCAGUUACAGAAAGAUUCCUUUCUUGAAAGCUGGGGGUGUUUUUUAGAAAAUCAGGCUUAAAUAUAGGGUUUGAAAUGAACCAAAAAAUGAGGAAGGGGUAAUAGUAAAAGAAAAAAUCAAGUUUUGUUGCCCUAAAGCCCUCCUAUAAGAAGCUCAUUUUCCUGAAUUCUAGGGCAGAGAUGGGGAGGAUCCAAAAAGAGAAAACGACUGAAAAUUUUUCCAAAAAAAAAAACUACUCAAGUUUUGAGCUUGAUUUCUUUCUUUGGCUAAAAAGUUUAGAAGUGGUCUUUCUUGGGAUUUUCUGGUUUUUCUAAGCUAAAAUAUGGAUGGAUAUUGAGGCUAUUGAGUUGAUGAUUACUACUGUUCUUUGCGGCUGGACCUGUUAUUGCUUUGCUGCUAUAAGCUGAUUUUCAAAUACAUUUCUAGUUUUCUUUUUGUUGUAUCCAGGUACUCCUUUGAAUCUCUGAAAUUUGAAGUGAAUAUGACAAUGCAUGUGUUAAGGCUGAUGUGAUUAGUUAUCAAUUUUUCCAAAAUUGGUUCCUAGGUUCUAUUAAUUUGUAUAUCUCUUCUUCUAUUAGUCACUGUUCUCUUUCGCAUAUCAGUAGAUGUAAAUCUGUGUUAGAGUAUAAAAGUUGUCAUUGUAACACAUGAAUUUUAGGACUUGAA
rnacentral:lncRNA from 1 species